rnacentral:rRNA from 1 species
CCUACGGGAGGCAGCAGUGAGGAAUAUUGGUCAAUGGGCGAGAGCCUGAACCAGCCAAGUCGCGUGAGGGAGUACUGCCCUAUGGGUUGUAAACCUCUUUUGUCGGGGAGCAAAAGCCGGACGUGUCCGGCUGUGAGAGUACCCGAAGAAAAAGCAUCGGCUAACUCCGUGCCAGCAGCCGCGGUAAUACGGAGGAUGCGAGCGUUAUCCGGAUUUAUUGGGGUAAAAGGGUGCGCAGGCGGAUUUUUAAGUCGGCGGUCAAAUCGUGGGGCUCAACCCCAUCCAGCCGUUGAAACUGGGGAUCUAGAGUGUGCGAGAGGUAUGCGGAAUGCGUGGUGUAGCGGUGAAAUGCAUAGAUAUCACGCAGAACCCCGAUUGCGAAGGCAGCAUACCGGUGCACAACUGACGCUCAGGCACGAAAGCGUGGGUAUCGAACAGGAUUAGAUAACCGUGUAGUC